rnacentral:rRNA from 1 species
CAGUAGCCGCGGGAAUACCGAGGGUGCGAGCGUUAAUCGGAUUUACUGGGCGUAAAGCGUGCGUAGGCGGCUUCUUAAGUCGGAUGUGAAAUCCCUGAGCUUAACUUAGGAAUUGCAUUCGAUACUGGGAAGCUAGAGUAUGGGAGAGGAUGGUAGAAUUCCAGGUGUAGCGGUGAAAUGCGUAGAGAUCUGGAGGAAUACCGAUGGCGAAGGCAGCCAUCUGGCCUAAUACUGACGCUGAGGUACGAAAGCAUGGGGAGCAAACAGGAUUAGAUACCCCAGUAGUCCCUGUCUCUUAUAC